rnacentral:rRNA from 1 species
AGUGAACGCUGGCGGUAGGCCUAACACAUGCAAGUCGAACGGCAGCACAGUAAGAGCUUGCUCUUACGGGUGGAGAGUGGCGGACGGGUGAGGUAUACAUCGGACUCUAUUUUUUCGUGGGGGAUAACGUAGGGAAACUUACGCUAAUACCGCAUACGACCUACGGGUGAAAGCAGGGGAUCUUCGGACCUUGCGCGAUUGAAUGCGCCGAUGUCGGAUUAGCUAGUUGGCGGGGUAAAGGCCCACCAAGGCGACGAUCCGUAGCUGGUCUGAGAGGAUGAUCAGCCACACUGGAACUGAGACACGGUCCAGACUCCUACGGGAGGCAGCAGUGGGGAAUAUUGGACAAUGGGCGCAAGCCUGAUCCAGCCAUACCGCGUGGAUGAAGAAGGCCUUCGGGUUGUAAAGCCCUUUUGUUGGGAAAGAAAAGCAGCAGGUUAAUACCCCGCUGUUCUGACGUUACCCAAAGAAUAAGCACCGGCUAACUUCGUG